CCUGUCUAAGCUUUGUGUUCCUUGCACCUUCGAGUUCCUGAUCUCGGCGUUUCCUCAUCCAAAACUUACCACCUUGGGCAUAUCCCUCGGUGGGCAGCCAGUUAAACACCGACAAAGGGCACGCGACGUGUGCGUGAAAGGUCCCGAAAUCGGCUGUAGAAAGCCGAUUGUUCCCUGGCGGCUUCCUUUUGCCACUUUGAAUCUGUUACGGAUAUCACGCGCGGAAUUUUUGAAACUCGUAACCGACUAGGGUUUUGGGACGCGAAAAACCCUAGCGGUUCUCCUUAUAAAUACGCUGGGUGCCGGCACAGAAAAGAAAGAGAGAAAACCUACGAUGCACAACACGCCUCAUCUUGCCUGCUGCGCCACCGUGUACGCUACUUCAUCCCGUUCGUCGGCGUGCACCGGCGAUCGGGAGAGCAGGUCUCUGGAACCUCGUCCUCAGCGAUCCUGCACUGGGAGAGGGCGAAUAAGGUUUUUGGGAAGCGCUCUGCGCGACUGCUCGAACGCUUCCACAUCGCCGUCCUCUACAUCCUCGUCACCGCGGCUCGUCUACCUCCUCGUCAGUGGGGCGCAACUCGGCGUCGUCAAGCACGCGGAGGUGCUGAUCAUCGCCGUCAUCUUCUUUGCCUGGUUAUUCCGGCCGGACAAGAAACAACACGGCAUUAUUCAUGAGAGGACGCCUCCCUAUUCACCCGAAUCAAACGGGAUUGCCGAAAGGAAGAAUCGCAUGUUGUCUGACUUGGUUAAUGCCAUGUUAGAUACCGCUGGAUUAUCUAAGGCAUGGUGGGGGGAGGCAGUACUGACUGCAUGUCAUGUCCUGAAUAGAGUUCCCAUGAAGAAUUAGAAAAAGACUCCUUACGAAGAGUGGAUUGGGAGAAGACCUUCACUCUCUUACUUGCGCACAUGGGGUUGUUUGGUCAAGGUGAAUGUGCCAAUCAACAAGAAGCGCAAGUUGGGAUCUAAAACUGUGGAUUGUAUCUUUUUGGGUUAUGCACAUCGUAGCAUUGCUUAUAGAUUUCUAAUAGUUAAAUCUGAGAUGCCUGUUAUGCAUGUAAAUUCACUGCUUGAGUCUCGUGAUGCCACUUUCUUUGAGAAUAUCUUUCCUAUGAAAGACUCGCAUGUUAUAUCUUCAUUACCUCUAAAUGAAACAGUGAAUACAACUCCUGAAUCUGUUGAA